rnacentral:rRNA from 1 species
ACAACUUUCAACAACGGAUCUCUUGGUUCUGGCAUCGAUGAAGAACGCAGCGAAAUGCGAUAAGUAGUGUGAAUUGCAGAAUUCAGUGAAUCAUCGAAUCUUUGAACGCACAUUGUGCCCUUUGGUAUUCCAAAGGGCAUGCCUGUUCGAGCGUCAUUU